rnacentral:misc_RNA from 1 species
GUAUUAAAAUGCGUUUAUAGCAUGCGUUACAUUCUGAGACUGACGUGGUGUAUAAAAACAUAGCUAGGCUCGACGCCCAGUGGUCUAAUCGAGCCAGACUACCAAAGGUGCACAGGUGUAGAUGGAGCGAGCCGAGCGUGCACAUGCCCCCCGAGGGAGGCCAGCGACAGCCCGUUUCAAACUCGGUAAUGAUCCUUCCGCAGGUUCACCUACGGAAA